rnacentral:rRNA from 1 species
UACGAAGGGGGCUAGCGUUGUUCGGAAUUACUGGGCGUAAAGCGCACGUAGGCGGAUCGAUCAGUCAGGGGUGAAAUCCCAGGGCUCAACCCUGGAACUGCCUUUGAUACUGUCGAUCUGGAGUACGGGAGAGGUGAGUGGAACUGCGAGUGUAGAGGUGAAAUUCGUAGAUAUUCGCAAGAACACCAGUGGCGAAGGCGGCUCACUGGCCCGGUACUGACGCUGAGGUGCGAAAGCGUGGGGAGCAAACAGG